GUCUCAUUGGCUUAGAGGUAGAACGUCUGUCUUGUAAGCAGGAGGUCGCUGGUUCGAUUCCAGCAUGAGGCA
rnacentral:tRNA from 1 species